rnacentral:tRNA from 1 species
GGCCCCUUAGCUCAGUUGGUCAGAGCAAGCGAUUCAUAAUCACCGGGUCGCUGGUUCAGCAGGGGCCACCA